rnacentral:rRNA from 1 species
UACGGGGGGGGGCAAGCGUUGUUCGGAAUUACUGGGCGUAAAGGGCGCGUAGGCGGUGCUCUAAGUCGGAUGUGAAAACUCUGGGCUCAACCCAGAGCCUGCAUCCGAAACUGGAGUGCUAGAGUUCUGGAGGGGUAGCGGAAUUCCUGGUGUAGCGGUGAAAAUGCGUAGAUAUCAGGAGGAACACCGGUGGCGAAGGCGGCUACCUGGACAGAAACUGACGCUGAGGCGCGAAAGCUAGGGAGCAAACAGG